rnacentral:rRNA from 1 species
UACAGAGACUGCAAGCGUUAUUCGGAUUCACUGGGCGUAAAGGGUGCGCAGGCGGCCAAGUGUGUGAGGCGUGAAAGCCCGGGGCUUAACCCCGGAAUUGCACCUCAAACUACAUGGCUAGAGCAUUGGAGAGGGUAGCAGAAUUCAUGGUGUAGCAGUGAAAUGCGUAGAUAUCAUGAGGAAUACCAGAGGCGAAGGCGGCUACCUGGACAAUUGCUGACGCUCAGGCACGAAAGCGUGGGGAACAAAAGGG